GAUGAACGCUGGCGGCGUGCCUAAUACAUGCAAGUCGAGCGAACAGACGAGGAGCUUGCUCCUCUGACGUUAGCGGCGGACGGGUGAGUAACACGUGGAUAACCUACCUAUAAGACUGGGAUAACUUCGGGAAACCGGAGCUAAUACCGGAUAAUAUAUUGAACCGCAUGGUUCAAUAGUGAAAGACGGUUUUGCUGUCACUUAUAGAUGGAUCCGCGCCGCAUUAGCUAGUUGGUAAGGUAACGGCUUACCAAGGCAACGAUGCGUAGCCGACCUGAGAGGGUGAUCGGCCACACUGGAACUGAGACACGGUCCAGACUCCUACGGGAGGCAGCAGUAGGGAAUCUUCCGCAAAGGGCGAAAGCCUGACGGAGCAACGCCGCGUGAGUGAUGAAGGUCUUCGGAUCGUAAAACUCUGUUAUUAGGGAAGACCAAAUGUGUAAGUAACUAUGCACGUCUUGACGGUACCUAAUCAGAAAGCCACGGCUAACUACGUG
rnacentral:rRNA from 1 species